rnacentral:lncRNA from 1 species
GAUUAUUAUGGGAUGGUGGUGCAGAAUGGGGAGGGCUUGAGGAGCUCUUCUCCAGCCCCCCUUACCCCUUAGUCUCUCACCAUCUUAAGGUCAGCCUCCUAUCUCCAAAAGCCCAUGAGGAACACCUGAAAUCCAUCUCCCUACACACACACUUUGGGCACCUCAACCCAUCCUAGGCAUCUUCUCUAACUAGCAGCCACCUCCCUCCAGAGUGCGGAGGAAAAAAGGUAGCCCCUGAGGAAUGGAAUAGAGACUCAUAGCAGGGUCGUGAUGGUCAGUGACUUCCAACUCCCACCUGCACAACGUCAUCUUUUGCUUCCUAACCCCUUAUGCCACUCUUUCUCCUCUCCCUCUCUCCCACAAAGUGGGGGCCCUUCAUCCUCUUCCCCUCCCCCUCCCCUCCAUUUCCUCUCCAGCUCCCUCCACAGCCGUAACCAGUAAAACAGGCGGCCAACUAUUAUGGGAUGGCUGCUCCCAGCAGCUCUGCAGGGAGGGGGCGGUCACCGCGGAAUGUCUCUUGUGGGUGGCUAUUAUGGGAUGGCCGCCUCUCUUUUUUUGGGGGGGGUAGGGGGCUACUGAGGAGGAUUAUUAUGG